GUGAGUCUGUUUAUAAAAGGGAAAGAACACUUAGGUAUGUUCGCAUAGACAGGGCAGUACUUUAGGAUAAAACUUCCUAGACUUUUAGUUUCCCUAAGGAGUUACGAUUGGAGGAAAACCGGUGAAGGUAACUGUGCCUUGGAGUAUGGGGGGGAAGAACCUGGAGCAGGGAACUGGUGGUUGAAAGUAAAUGAGUACGGAUGGCUCUAGCCCCUAAGCAUAAAUGUCCCUCUAUAAGCAUAAAUGAAUUCACGUCAAAGUAUUUCUUUUCUGCUUGCUUUUAAAGACUGGGCUAUACAAGGAAAGUAAAUGAUUAAGUUCUGGCAGAAACAUAUGCUGACCACUUCUUGUGACAUUUCCCUAAAUUCAUUGUGUCUGUUUUCUAUGGUUCUUUCUAAAUGAGCUUGUUCUAGGGAGCCUGAUGUUAUCCAUUUGAAUUCCUUUGGUUUCCUGAAACCGAGACUCCAUCAAGCCUAAAUCCAGAACACCGGCUACCAUUUGCUUCUCUGGAGUUGACAACUAUCCCCUGCAUAUGCCAUAGUUGACCUGGUCACGUGUUGUGAUGGUUUGUAUAUGCUUGGCCCAGGGAGUGGCAGGAUUAGAAGGUGUGGCCCUGUCCGAGGAAGUGUGUCACUGUGAGUGUGGGCUUUAAGACCUUCAUGCUAGCUGCCUGGAAGUGAGUAUUCUGCUAGCAGCCUUCAGAUCAAGAUGUAGAACUCUCAGCUCCUCCUGCACCAUGCCUGCCUGGAUGCUGCCAUACUCCUGCCUUGAUGAUAAUGGACUGAACCUCUGAACCUGUAAGCCAGCCCCAGUUGAAUGUUGUCCUUAAAAGGGUUGCUUUGGUCAUGGUGUCUGUUCACAGCAGUCAGUAAAACCCUAAGACACGUGUAUAACUGAACUCCAGUCUACACCUCACCUCCCUUUGUUAUCCUCUUCAACAAAAAUGUAAAGAUUACAAGUAGCGUGCUUUGCCCAUAAUAAAGCACAGGAGAAAAGUAAAUAGAACUUUUCUCAAAAGCUACUGUGAGCGUUUAUCACGGGCAAAUGCUCGUUUAGCCCCACCCCCCUGAUUUAAAAACAAAAACAAAAAAAACGAAGCAGUUGGAGGAUCUUCCAUUGAGCUUAGCUCUCCCUAGCCAGCCUUGGCUUCUUCCACUUUUCAGAGAGCUUGUCUCAGCACAUCUCUCUUCACUUCAGAUUUCAGACAUUUUAGAUUUACUGUUGGCAGGUCUUAUUAAAAGCCUUUAUUACAAGAAAAAGUCACCCAGGAGGCAGCCAGUCAUCGAUGGUAAAGUUCAGUAAAGUCUGCCUAGUUCAUGUGCCUAGUUUUAAUCUGUGGUUCAUUUUAAUUCCACUUAAUUGCAGUAACAUUUUAAUGAACUGUCUUAGGUUUCUAUGGCUGCGAUUAAACAUCAUAACCAAGUUGGUGAGAAAAGGGUUGAUUCCAGCUUACAACUCUUGGGUCACAGUCCCCCAUCCAGGGAACUCAAGGCAGGAACCGGAGCAGAGAAAGUGGAGGAGCCCUGCUCAGCAUCCUGUUCCCCCUUUGGCUUCCUCAGCUUGUUUUCUACAACUCAGGAGCCCCUGCCCACGGGUAGUGUAAGCCCAGUGUCUCCUAUCAAUUAUUAAUCAUGAAAAUGCCCUGAAGUUUGCCCACAAGCAGUGUGAUAGAGGUAAUUCCUCAUUCAGGUUCCUCUUUCCAAAUAACUCUGACCUAUGUCAAGUUGGAUAAAAACCAAAAGAAAAAAAGAAAGAAAGAAAGAAAGAAAGAAAGAAAGAAAGAAAGAAAGAAAGAAAGAAAGAAACCACGAGGCAGGGUGAACCAACAGUCACUCUUUUCUCCUCAAUGAUGAACCACAAUGCACCCAGAUGCACAAGCCUAAAUCUAGUUGACACCCUUGAUUCCCAGCUCUCUCUCUCUCUCUCUCUCUCUCUCUCUCUCUCGCUCGCUCGCUCGCUCUUUCUCAUCCACCCCUACAGAUUCUCUUUGUCUACAGAAUUGCAACACACAUCUCCUCCUCCAAUCUUUUCUCCCCACUAGACAUCGUCACUCGUCUGUGCCAUGAAACCAUGGUCUUGCUCCACUCAAAACUCUUUCUGAAACAGAAUCAUCAAGGCAGAUGACUCCUGAUGACCCAGCUUUCUUUUCAAUGGUCCUGACACGUCUCUCUACAACAGAAUGCAACAGAAUGACUGCAUCCACUGUACCGCGUAGAAGAGCCACGUUCUUUACAUUCCGGCCAUCUCUUUGCUGGAUUGCCCUUAUGUGCAUUAUUUUAAUUGAGCGCUUGUUAAUAAAAUGGUUUUGUUUCUUUUCUCUUAACGAGUUGGGAGACAAUGUUGUUUCUAAUUAAAAUGAUUAUUUUCUAACUGCAGAAAUCCUUCAACAUUGGAACAAAGGAUCCAGCAGAGAAGUAUCUGCCCUUCACAGCUCGCCCCUGGACAAGGAGAUACACAACCCUGACACUUCUCCCUCUUUCUCCUCAGCAUUCAGCCCCUUUGCCCCUCAUUCUCUGCUCUCAGCACCACUUACCGCCUCCAGCUCUGGGCCCUUCUGUCACUCACCACUCCUGGCUGGUUUGGCACUUCAUGGUACCAGGUCAAAGAUGCAGAGCAAGGGUGAUGUGGCUGCCAUCAGACAAUGCAAGGAAACACAACGUUAUCAUGACAUACUGACAGAAACACACUGCUUAUUCUCCCGAUGGUCAGGGCAGAGUUUCUCUUGCACCAUUGUCUCUGUCAAAUGCAUCUUAAUUUAACAGUCAUACAUCUGCCUCCAAAGGGAUGUUGAAGACCUUGACCAAGAGGCAGCUUGUGACAUCGCUGCCAUUUCCAAGCAUUCCAGUGGACAAUUGGUAAGCAUUCUAAUGCUUGUCCAUGCUCGUUAUGCAUCUGUAACAGAAAUGCUACAACGCUGAACACAUAGGGACACACGGACACGCAUGUUCAUUUCUCUGCGGUCUCACUAUGGACCACGAUACCUGAAGAUUUUCUUUAAUACUUACAUACUAGAAACAUGUAAAGGAGAGUCUCCUUUCACCUUUAUCUUUCUCACAUCAGACCUACUUUUCAACAAAUACUUGGUAAGCAUCUCCUGUGCUGAGUGUUAUGCUGGUGACAAUAUAAAGAAUCCCAAGACAUUCGUUCCCUCCA